GCCGGAUGUGGUGGCGCAUGCCUGUAAUCCCAGUGGUUUGGGAGACUGAGGCAGGAGGAUCGUGAGUUCAAAGCCAGCCUCAGCAGUGAGGCCCUAAGCAACUCAGUGAUACCCUGUCUUUA
rnacentral:sRNA from 1 species